ACUCCUACGGGAGGCAGCAGUGGGGAAUUUUGGACAAUGGGCGAAAGCCUGAUCCAGCAAUGCCGCGUGAGUGAAGAAGGCCUUCGGGUUGUAAAGCUCUUUUGUCAGGGAAGAAACGGUGAGAGCUAAUAUCUUUUGCUAAUGACGGUACCUGAAGAAUAAGCACCGGCUAACUACGUGCCAGCAGCCGCGGUAAUACGUAGGGUGCAAGCGUUAAUCGGAAUUACUGGGCGUAAAGCGUGCGCAGGCGGUUUUGUAAGUCUGAUGUGAAAUCCCCGGGCUCAACCUGGGAAUUGCAUUGGAGACUGCAAGGCUAGAAUCUGGCAGAGGGGGGUAGAAUUCCACGUGUAGCAGUGAAAUGCGUAGAUAUGUGGAGGAACACCGAUGGCGAAGGCAGCCCCCUGGAUCAAGAUUGACGCUCAUGCACGAAAGCGUGGGGAGCAAACAGGAUUAGAUACCCCUGUAGUCCCAUGAU
rnacentral:rRNA from 1 species